AUUGAACGCUGGCGGCAGGCCUAACACAUGCAAGUCGAGCGCGCGGCGGACGGGUGAGUAAUGUCUGGGAAACUUCCUGAUGGAGGGGGAUAACUACUGGAAACGGUAGCUAAUACCGCAUACCAUCCGAUUUGCCCAGAUGGGAUUAGCUAGUAGGUGGGGUAACGGGUGACCUAGGCGACGAUCCCUAGCUGGUCUGAGAGGAUGACCAGCCAACCUGGAAAUGAAGCACGGUCCAGACUCCGAAGGAAGGCAGCAGUAGGGAAUAUUGGACAAUGGGCGCAAGCCAGAUACAGACAUGCCGCGUGUGGGAAGAAGGCCUUCGGGUUGUAAAGCACUUUCAGCGGAGAGGCGUUACACGCAGAAGAAGCACCGGCUAACUCCGUGCCAGCCGCCGCGGUAAUAC
rnacentral:rRNA from 1 species